rnacentral:rRNA from 1 species
GAUGAACGCUGGCGGCGUGCCUAAUACAUGCAAGUCGAGCGAACGGACGAGAAGCUUGCUUCUCUGAUGUUAGCGGCGGACGGGUGAGUAACACGUGGAUAACCUACCUAUAAGACUGGGAUAACUUCGGGAAACCGGAGCUAAUACCGGAUAAUAUUUUGAACCGCAUGGUUCAAAAGUGAAAGACGGUCUUGCUGUCACUUAUAGAUGGAUCCGCGCCGCAUUAGCUAGUUGUAAGGUAACGGCUUACCAAGGCAACGAUGCAUAGCCGACCUGAGAGGGUGAUCGGCCACACUGGAACUGAGACACGGUCCAGACUCCUACGGGAGGCAGCAGUAGGGAAUCUUCCGCAAUGGGCGAAAGCCUGACGGAGCAACGCCGCGUGAGUGAUGAAGGUCUUCGGAUCGUAAAACUCUGUUAUUAGGGAAGAACAUAUGUGUAAGUAACUGUGCACAUCUUGACGGUACCUAAUCAGAAAGCCACGGCUAACUACGUG